AGGCAAGGUCUUGCUAUGUUGCUCAGACUGAUCUUGAACUCCUGACCCUAAAGUGAUCCUCCUGCCUCAGCCUCCCAAAGUGCUGGGAUUGCAGGUAUGAGCUACCACACCUGACCUGGGCUCAGACCUUUAACCGUGUUGGGAGAUAGGAGUGGGAGGAAGUGAUGUUUGAGUUAAAUCUUGACAUGAAGGGUUCCUGAGCAGUUCAAUGUGUGUGUGUCAUUUGGGAGAAACUGCCCUCAUUUCUGGGAGCUCUGUUGAUCUCUGUACGUCUACUUACUUCUUGGAGGCCUGAUAUGGUUUGGCUCUCUGUCCCCACCCAAAUCUCAUGUUGAAUUGCAAUUCCCAAUGUUGGGGGAGGCACCUGGUGGGAAGUGACUAGAUCAUGGGAGUGGAUUUCCCCCUUGCUAUUCUCAUGAUAGUGAGUGAGUUCUCAUGAGAUCUGAUGGUUUCAAAGUGGGUGGCACUUUCCCCUUUGCUUUCUCUCUCCUACCACCAUGUGAAGACAUGCUUGCUUCCUCAUCACCUUCUGCCAUGAUUGUGUUUCCUGAGGUCUCCCAGCCGUGCUUCCUGUACAGCUUGUGGAAGUCUUGCCCAGAGACAUCUGAGUCUUCACACGGCGCACGGCACACUCCUUGUCAGAGAGCCCAUCCGAGUGUGAGGAUAUGUCAAUGGGAAUCUCUGGCGUCUGGGACAGCAGGUCGUCUAGCUUCUCUGCCAAGCGGUCUUCAAGUUUAUCAGCUAACUCAUCAGGACUGUUUGAGUGGUCACUGGUAUUUCCCUCUUCUCCAUCAGACACAGAGAAAUUCUCAGAGCUAAAGGUUGAAUAUGACUGGCAGCUGCUGAUACAGCGAUGGGGCCUAGAACCAAGAAGAACCAGGAGAACUUAGUCAGAGGAACAACUGCUUUUCUUUCCUUAUCUGUCACUCAUAGUAGUGGUAGAGAUAAUCUAGUUUUUUCCCUGCCAUCAAGGAGGCCUAAGAAAUCAAGAUAGGUAGAAACUAUUUAACUUUUAACAUUAAGGCAAUGGACUGAAUUUUAUCCCCCAUGAAAUUCCAUGUUGAGGCCCUAAUACCAGUGCGACUGUAUUCGGAGAUAGGGCUUUUAGGAAGUAAAUAAAGUUAAAUGGAUCAUAAGGGUGAGGUCCUGAUCAAAUAGGAUUGGCAGCCUUAUAAAAAGAGGAAGAGAUUCUCUCCAUUCCUCCCUCCCACCUUUUUUCAACAUUCAUGUGCGGGGCAAAGACCAUGUGAGGAAACAGAGAAGGUGGCUGUCUGCAAGCCAGGAAGAGAGCCCUCACCAGAAACUGAAUCUGCUGACACCUUGAUCUUGGACUUCCCCAGCUCCAGAACUUGAGAAAUAAGUUCCUGUUGUUUAAGCCAUCCAAUCUGUAGUAUUUUGUUAUGGCAGCCCAAGGUGACUAACACAAGAAGGAAAUUUUAAUUUCCCCUUUCAUUUGGUUUAUAUAUUUAUGUGACUAAACACUACACUCCAAGCUGAUGGCUAUGACUGGCCUUUGAAAAACAUCAGCUUGUCUAAUCACGUUAUGUACAUAUAUGCAUAGUAUGGAAUGUCCAAAUUGAAAUUAUGCCUCUUAUUUAGAGAGUCAUAGAUUCUCACAGGUGAAAGAGACUUUGGAGAAUCUCUGGACUAACUCAUUUCCCAGAUGAGAAAACUGGAGCCAGAGAAGGGAAGUGACUUGUUUAAGGCCACACCAUGAGAAAAGGCAGAGCUGAGGCUUGGGCUGGGUCUACACACACUUUGAUCAGUGUCCUUCUCUAACCUCCAUCCCUCACCUCCCUGUCAAUCCACCCCAGCUUCAUUUCCCAGAGCCCAGUGUCCACUGGGCAUGGUGGCCCUGGAGGCCCAAGUGCUUUCACUACCUCUGUUGACCAACCUUCAACAGAAAUGAGCAUGGAAGGAACAUUCACUCUGCAGCUGUGGGUACUGCCCAGCUAGUUAGUAGCUCAUUCCAGUUAACAUCUGAGUUUGGCUCUGAUGAGCCAACGCUUCUGGGGAGAUAAUUUGCAAAAGUUCCUCAGUUCCUUCCCGUUGUUUAUAAGCAGCUUAGUAAAUAAGGAUGUUACUAGCUUACACUGGCUUAAAAAAACAUAAGAAAACAAAUAAUAAAGACUUCCUUUUUCUUUUGCCAUUGUCUGAUCUUUCUGUAUUUCUUAGUCUAAAGAGUUUUGUUUUGUUUUGUUUUUUUCUUUUUUUUUUUUUGAGACAGAGUCUCACUCUGUCGCCCAGGCUGGAGUGCGGUGGUGCCAUCUCGCCUCAUUGCAACCUGUGCCUCCUGGGUUCAAGCAAUUCUCCUGCCUCAGCCUUCUGAGUAGCUGGGACUACAGGCAUGCCCCACCAUGCCUGGCUAAUUUUUGUAUUUUUAGUAGAGACGGGGUUUCGCCGUGUUGGCCAGGAUGGUCUUGAACUCCUGAUUCAGCCUCCCAAAGUGCUGGGUUUAGAGGUGUGAGCCACAGCACCCGGCCUAGUACAAAGAGAUUUUAUGCCAUAUGACCUAGGCCUGGCUGAUGCCCAGGACAGGUGAUGGGGUGAGUUGGUUGGGGGUCAGGGGGGCAGAUCAUGGAUAUAUAAGAAGAGGUCAUAAAGAGUCCAGGAAUAGCAGGGAAUGAGAACAGAUUUCAAUUUUGUGUAUAAUGCAGGGAUCCAGGAUAUAACUUAUCAAAGGGCCAGGAGUCCUUUGGUUUGUAGGGAAUUCCUGUUUCCAGGCAGGUACACAAACCUUCCUGGGGAGACUUCUUAGAGCAUUACUCUUCAAGAACAGAAUGUCCAUUAGCAGAAAAAGACCUCUUGGUAGGAAAACUAUCUUAUUCUCUACAUUAGAGGCAGCUUUUAUUCUAGAAGUAAGGGGAGAUGGCCCUUAUUGACUCCUAGCAGGAAUAUUAUUAUCGCUAUCUAAGCAAGAAGCUAUUUCUAAGGCUGGGUUGAAGGUGGAUUCAACUUAUCUAAUCAUAUUUAACUUGAGAUAUAAAAUCUAAGGCAUGGGGAAUGCUAUGGACUGAAUUGCCUUCCUCCCAAAUCCAUCGGUUGAAGCUCUAAACUCCAAUAUAAUUGUAUCUAGAUAGACCCUCUAGAUAGGGUCUUUAGGAGGUAAUUAAUAUUAAAUGAGUUCAUAAGAGUGGACCCCUAAUCCAAUAAGACUGUGACCUUUUAAAAGAAGGAAGAGCUCUCUCUGCCAUGUGAGGAAACAGCAAGAAGGUGGCUGUCUGCAAGCCAGUAGGAGAGCCCUCAUCAGGAACUGAGUCAGCUAGAACCUUGAUCUUGAACUUCCCCAGCUCCAGAAUUGUGAGAAAUCAAUUUCUGUUGUUUAAGCAUCCAGUUUGUUACAGAAGCCUGAGCAGACCAACACAGGGAGGCACACUAGAAACCAACACAAUUACCCAUAAAACAGCAUGGCCAUCUGUCACAAACUGCCCACUGUAUUCUCAGUUGUAACCUUGAAUCUGUAUUCAUGCUCCUCAUCAUGAAGUUGCUGUAAAAUGAAUGCUAAUGAACUAGGAUCUGCUGUGCACGAACAACUGCCAAAAUGUAGCAACAGGAAAACAUGAACACAGUGAGUUCAAAGUUCCCUAUAAGGUGGCUGCCAGGGAAUCACCUGUGGUUGAAGAGCAGGUGUGGCAAACUUAGGAUUUUUUUUCCCCAUUCCACUAAAAGCAAUCGUGUGCAUUUGUUGGUUUUACCUCUGUCUUCGUGGAAAUUCAACUUCACUAUCUACUUCCCCUUCUUCCUCUUCUGAGGAGUCAUCUCCACUCUGAGGAGAACAAGGAUUAAGAGUUUUAUUUAUUUUAGUGUCACUCUGUCUCUCUCACCCCAUCCCCACUAACUGUAAAAAAUGUAAUUAUCAUCAAAAGUCAUUCAUUUAGUAGUAGCUUGCUGAAUGUCAUCUUUAAACAUACAUGUCCUCAUUAUUCAUUUAGUAACUUUUCCAGGGUACCUAUGAUGGCGGGCCUGCAUGAGAUGCUGGAAGACGUGUAGAACUGAGUGAAAUUUUCUUUGUCCUCAGAGAGGUGAUGGCUCUAUUAAAGUGUCCAGAGAGAACUCAUCUCACACCAAGGGCAUAGGAGCAGCCACACUUAAGAUCAACUGUCCUUAACCACAGCAUCAUGAUACGCUGGAUUACCCAAUCGCUUGUAAGGAAAGACAGAGAUGAAGUUAUCCUGACUGCUGAGAUGAGCAGUUUACCCUAGGAGGACCUGUGGGACUAUGUUUUGGUAAAGAAAAGUUGAGCUGCUCUGUGGGAGUGAGGUUCCAAUGAAGCCAAAUGUACAAGGUGUGUGUUCUAUGGCCUAAAGACCCGUAGAUGGUAUCACAAUGGCAUGAGAAAGGUUCAAAGAUACAUGUUAUUUGGGGGAGCCUGGGGAAUGUGGUGACUGCUAAAGGGUGUGGGGUUUCUUUCUGGGGUGAUAAAAGUGUUGUAAAAUUGGUCGUGGUGAUAGUUACACAGCUCUGUGGAUAAAAAGCAUUGAACUAUACACUUUAAAUGGGAGGACUGUAUGGUAUGCAAAUUAUAUCUUAAUAAAGAAGUUAUCAAAAAAUACAAGUUACUGGCCAUCGGAGUUGGAAGAGGAGAGAAUGGAUCGGCCCAAAUCAACUGCACCAGCUGAAACACAAUUUUAUGUAUUUAUUUAUUUAUUGAGACAGAGUCUUGCUCUGUUGCCCAGGCUGGAGUGCAGUGGUGCAAUCUUGGCUCACUGCAACCUCUGCCUCCUGGGUUCAACUGAUUCUCCUGCCUCAGCCUCCCGAGUACCUGGGAUUACAGGAGUGCACCACCAUGCCCGGCUAAUUUUUGUAUUUUUAGUAGAGACAGGGUUUCCCAUAUUGGCCAGGCUGGUCUCGAACUCCUGACCUCAGGUGUUCCACCCGCCUUGGCCUCCCAAAGUGCUGGGAUUACAGGUGUGAGCCACCGCGGCCACCCCCUGAAACACAAUUUAAUCUCUGGGACUGCUUAGUCAGUAUAGGAGCAGCAAUGUAGGUGGAGGGGGAAAUGCAGUUCCCAGAUGACAGCCCUCAGCUUCAGCUUCUUUUCUACUCAAUGCCUAGUUGACCAAACAUACUCAUUACAUUUUAUACCCUUUCAUUCCUUCAGCUAAAUUCCUGGUGAACAAUGAUGAUGAGAUGAAACCAUACUUAGAAUUGGGUGGGUGUCUACCAUGUUGUAAACAUUUUUCAUACAUAAUCUUAUUUUUUGACUCAUAGCAAGAAGAGCUAAUACUUUUGGAAAAGUGCUACGUUCCAGGCCCUGUUCUAAAUGCUUUAUAUGUAUUUAUGCAUGUAGUCUUUAUAGCAACUGAUGAGGCAGAGUCCAAUAUUAGGCCCAUUUUAUAGACAAGGAAACUGAGGUCCAUAGAGGUACUAAAUGGAAGAGCGUGGCUUUUUUUUUUUUUUUUUUUUGAGAUGGGGUCUCACACUGUCGCCCAGUCUGGAGUGCAGUGGCGGGAUCUCGGCUCACUGCAGCCUCCACCUCCCAGGUUCAAGCUAUUCUCUGCCUCAGCCUCCUGAGUAGCUGGGAUUACAGGUGCCUGCCACCACGCCUGGCUAAUUUUUGUAUUUUUGGUAGAGAUAGGAUUUCACCAUGCUGGCCAGGCUGGUCUUGAACUCCUGACCUCAUGAUCCACCUGCCUCGGCCUUCCAAAGUGCUGGCAUUACAAGCAUGAGCCACCGUGCCUGGCCAAGAGCCUGGCUUUAAAGUAAGGUCUGUCUGACUCCUAGGCUCAUGCUCUUAACUGCUAUGGUAGUCUGCUUCCCAGGUAACAAAUCCCAGGCAGCCAGUGGAUAAGGAGGAGAGAAACAGGUUUCAAUGAUUAAGAACUAUCUGGGUCACGAUGCCUGUCAAUUAAGGCAAUGUUUUCCAAAGUGUGAAGAAAGCUAGUGCCUCAGGGGAUUAAUAGAUGUUAAUUUAAAAAGGCUGUAUGUUCAAAUAGGUGAGGGAAAUGCUCGGUUAAACAAGUUUACUGCAGGAUUUCUCAAAGCAGAGGACUGUUAAUGUGCCCUAGGAAUCUGUAUGAGGGGAUGAGAGAAUACUGUGCUUCUUAAACUUACUCUAUAACAGGCUCUUUACUUCCCAUAACAUCCCUCAGGACUAGAGCUGUAGCAUAGUAGUUUCCAAACUAUUUUGAUUACAUAUCCCCACUAUAUAGUUUUUUUGUUUGUUUGUUUUUUGAGACAGAGUCUCGCUCUGCCACCCAGGCUGGAGUGCAGUGGUGUGAUCUCGGCUCAGUGCAACCUCCGCCUCCCAGGUUCAAGCAAUUCUCAUGCCUCAGUCUCCUGAGUAGCUCGGAUUACAGGUGUGUGCUACCACACCUGGCUAAUUUUUGUAUUUUUUUUAGUAGAGACAGGGUUUCACCAUGUUGGCCAGGAUGGUCUCGAACUCUUGACCUCAAGUGAUCCUCCUGCCUUGGCCUCCCAAAUUGCUGGGAUUAUAGGCGUGAGCCACCAUGUGCAGCCCAUAUCCCCAGUAUAUAGUUAUCUAUAAAUAAGUUAUUAUACAUACACUUGACUCAGUCCUCUGGUUCAGUAGUUGCUAAAGUGUAUUCCGUAGUUUAUCACUUAAACAGUGUGGAAAGAACGAAUUUAAAGUAAAAUAAAUUUCUAUUUAUGUUUCUGUUA